UGGGGAAUAUUGCACAAUGGGCGAAAGCCUGAUGCAGCAACGCCGCGUGAGUGAUGAAGGCCUUCGGGUUGUAAAGCUCUGUCUUUUGGGACGAUAAUGACGGUACCAAAGGAGGAAGCCACGGCUAACUACGUGCCAGCAGCCGCGGUAAUACGUAGGUGGCAAGCGUUGUCCGGAUUUACUGGGCGUAAAGGAUGCGUAGGCGGAUUUUUAAGUGAGAUGUGAAAACCCUAAGCUUAACUUGGGGACUGCAUUUCAUACUGGAAAUCUAGAGUGCGGGAGAGGAGAAUGGAAUUCCUAGUGUAGCGGUGAAAUGCGUAGAGAUUAGGAAGAACACCAGUGGCGAAGGCGAUUCUCUGGACCGUAACUGACGCUGAGGCAUGAAAGCGUGGGUAGCAAACAGGAUUAGAUACCCUGGUAGUCCACGCCGUAAACGAUGAGUACUAGGUGUAGGAGGUAUCGACCCCUUCUGUGCCGCAGUUAACACAAUAAGUACUCCGCCUGGGAAGUACGAUCGCAAGAUUAAAACUUAAAGGAAUUGAC
rnacentral:rRNA from 1 species